GAUGAACGCUGGCGGCGUGCCUAAUACAUGCCAGUCGAGCGAACAGACGAGGAGCUUGCUCCUCUGACGUUAGCGGCGGACGGGUGAGUAACACGUGGAUAACCUACCUAUAAGACUGGGAUAACUUCGGGAAACCGGAGCUAACACCGGAUAAUAUAUUGAACCGCAUGGUUCAAUAGUGAAAGACGGUUUUGCUGUCACUUAUAGAUGGAUCCGCGCCGCAUUAGCUAGUUGGUAAGGUAACGGCUUACCAAGGCGACGAUGCGUAGCCGACCUGAGAGGGUGAUCGGCCACACUGGAACUGAGACACGGUCCAGACUCCUACGGGAGGCAGCAGUAGGGAAUCUUCCGCAAUGGGCGAAAGCCUGACGGAGCAACGCCGCGUGAGUGAUGAAGGUCUUCGGAUCGUAAAACUCUGUUAUUAGGGAAGAACAAAUGUGUAAGUAACUAUGCACGUCUUGACGGUACCUAAUCAGAAAGCCACGGCUAACUACGUG
rnacentral:rRNA from 1 species